CCACACCUCUGACGCCUCCCCCUGACCUCGCGCCCCCAUCGCCCCUGUCACCACGCGCCGCCCACCUUCCCGCUGACCUACGCCGCCCCACCUUCCCGCCGACGCGCCGCCCUGCCAUCCCCGCCGCUGCGCGCCGCCCAGCCACCGCAUCCCCUACCCGCGCGCUGCCGACGCCGGCCGGCCGCCCCUUCCUACCCACGCGCCGCCGGCCUCCCGCCACUCCCUACCCGCGCGCCACCGCCGCCGGCCGCUCGCCCCUCCCUACCAACGCGUUGCCGGCACCGACCGGCCGCCUCUCCCUACCCACGCGCUACCGGUGCCGUCCUCCACGACCCCGCCGCGUCUGGCGUGGUCCUCCCCCGCCCAGCCAGCCUCCUCCUUCCGCCUCGCCGGCGACCUUCUUCCUCCAGCUUGCCACCGCGACCUCCCCCUCCACCUCUCCCUGGUGCGCUGCGGGGACAUCCCGUUCAUCCAGCGUGCGGCUGUGUCAACCUCCUCGAGCUCCACUGCCCGCCUCCCGACCUCCAUUUAGCUGCCACCGUACUGACGCUCCCUUCUCCCAGGAACCACUGCCGUCGGUCCUUGCUUCCUGCGCGCCGCCGCCGCCCCGGGACCCAACGCGCCGCCGCUCCUCUGAUUCUGCUCCCCGGCUCUGCCUGCAAUUCUUCCGCCGAUGUUAUUAUAUGCAGGGCCCUGUUUAUGAAUUACAAGCAAUAGCAGCACUUGUAGAGUAGCCAAAAAGGAGAAAACCGAUGCAUACGUCGUCUUCUUCGUUAUGUGAAUGGCUAGAGGGGCAGCUUCAGUUUCCAUGUGUUGUACAAAAGAUCCAGGACUGCAGGAGAAGAUUUGUUGUUGAAGAAGUGAAAUUUGUUGGGUGCAUGUGCAGAAAAAUCGUCAGUUCAGUUUUCAAAAUUCUGGCCAACGACGGUUGCCGCUCCUCGACCCUAUUCCCGCUCGUCACCCAGCUCAGCAGCCCACCUCGGUGCUCCACCACUGGUCGCUCGAAGAGCUGGCUGCAGACCAUCCAUUGCUCCGCCUCUGGAUGCUGCCGUGUGGUGGCUGGCCGUCUCACUCCAAUGCACCACCCUCUCUUUGUUUACUGGUCUCUCUCAAGAGCGGAAGUUGUCCCUGAUGUACUCUCUGGAGCACAAGUUCAACAUCAUAGUCUAAAAAGGUUCACUGAUAUCAUCAUGAGGAAUUCAGAUUUUCAAAAGGUUCAUAUAAGAAACCACAUGAAAAUACAUAGAACAAAAAAAGAUUCAAAGAGUACUAAUGCUCCUGACAGGACUACAAGUCUUUCUGUACAAAUAUUCAUCUUUGGUAUAUUUGUAGCUAUAUAAUAACACAAGAUUUAGUUCGACACUGCAAUUGUUCUGUGAGACGCAGUAUAAAUUUUAAAGUUGGGGGAGUUCAAAUUUUGGACAUUUUUUCUGAAAAAAGUACAGUUUCACUUAUUUGAACUUUCUUGUGUAACAAGUUUGGAAAAGGCCAUCCCUGGGAAAGUUCAUAUGAGUAACUAUAAAAGGGGUCAGAGAAUAAAAUAAUUUGCCCUGAAACAAAGUUAAAAAAGAACAGGAUAAGUUCAUGUUUCAAAAGUUUGCAAGUUCGGAGGCAUAAACUAGGUAAGCUUGUAGCAUAUUUUACUAGGCAAAAAUAUCUGACCCUUGUACAUUUUUACUUCCAACGACGCUCCCGUUCAUCUGGUGACCAGGGCCAGCUCCUUCUCUGUGGUGGUUCCUGGCCUUGUGUGGCAACAGGUCGCGGUCUUCGUGUGAGUCGUUGGUCCAUCGCCCUCUUUGUGCACAUGGAACUCCUUUCCUUCUCACCUAAAGCAUUUUGUGCUCUGGCUCUCUCCACUCCCUGCCAAACUUCCCGAGGCUUGUUUCAAAUGCCCACUGUAUUACUGUACCUACUGCUCUCUGCACUCUCCUGCAGCUAAUGCUAUCUCCACUCUACUGUAUGUUUUGCUUGAUGAACAAGUAUGGACAAAAAUAUGUUGAAUAGGGAGAGUUCAUGUAUUACUGCCAUGCAAAAAAAACCUGUAACAAGUACAAAAAUGAAAGGUGGGCAAAACAAAAAAGCGAGCUUCCAAGUAGGAAGUUUGAUGCAUCUGCUACUGCUCCUUUUGUGCUUAUGGUUUACUCCAAACAAUUUAUUUCAACGACAUCUAAUGCAGAUGGCUUGCAUUUUGUGCUCCGUGGGUGUUUGUUCUUAUUCCUGAAAGAAAAAAAAAAUGUAUUGCAUUUGAUAGUUCAUCCAACAGUGCAAUGGCAGAAAGAACAUCAGUUCAAAAUGUAUGUGCAGGAGGUUUGGGUGCCAAAAGUCCGAUAUUUUGUUGUGUUUAAAUUUUUCGGGUGCAUGAUUGAGCAAGAUAUAAAUAAAAAAUGAUGUAUGAUAUAUAUUAUUUUCUUGUAGGAGGUUCAAAGAUUGUCGUGGAGCAAGUUCAAGAGUAAAGCCUGCGUGAGUCAUCCAUCGUCUUCCCACAUCUAGCAUCGGAGUCUCUCCUCCCCCAUUCCGCGCACACAGGUCAGGCUGUCGAGCACCUCCUCAGGUGAGAGGGCGGCGAGGCCCUACCAUCUCCCGGUGAUGGCUUGCUGGCACACCCUGCAAAUUCACCUCUUACCAUGGGGCAGAGUCUUCAUGGAUGAACUAGAUCGUCGCCUACAAGCUCUGCUCCAGGUCAUCUCCCUCCUCUGUUGUUCUUCCAUUAAAAAUAAAUUGUAGAAUUUUUAAUUGGCUUCCAUGCGUAAAGAAGCAUCAAAAGUGAUGCAUCAUUGACAUUAAUCCUCUAACAAAAGAGUACAUAUGAGAACCUGCUCCUGGUUCAGAACAGCAUGCACUCAUACACUUCUUGAAAAAAAAAACUGAAUUUCAGUUCAGAGCACUGGCUCCGGCAGCCGCAGUACCCCAUCUCCCCUGGCUCCCACACCACUGCGCCAUCUCCUCCCGGCGGGGCUCCGCCGCCGGAGCGACCUGUCCAGGCCGAGAUCAUCUUACAUGUCAAGCACCAAACCGAAACCCCUGGUACCCACCGCGACUUGUGCUGCUGGUGCUAGUGUGGAUGUGUACCAAGUUCAACUACCAGUCUACGCCGAGUUCAGGGUACCGUGACAUUGAGUAGGGGCGAAGUGUAUCACUCCAGCACGCCAUGCUCCAGUGCAUGUCAACGUCUUCCCCAUUGCAAUGGAAGCUGCAGAUUUUGCUUGGCUCUACUUGCCUUUUUAGUGUUUGCUUUAAUGCCUCAAUGGUGCACCGUGCAUCUUUUGCACUCUGAAGACAGAUUCUGAUUAGUCUGUUUCUACUAUUAGUUCAUGCAAACCUGGUUAUAUGAUGUCUUGUUUUUGUCAUUGUUACUCGAUGUCUCAUUUUCCUGUUUUCUGUUAUUUUUUCUUAUAGGGAAGGUUCUUGUAAUUAUUAGUUCUUUGACUGUAUGAUGCAACCGCUUACUCGAUGUCAUUGUCAUUGUUCUUGUAGUUGCAUAUAUGAAAGUGUGUGCUUGGUUUGGUUCCAUUUAUCAUUCUCUCAUGCCUGCCUUUUGAUCUUAUAGGAAUUGAGGCUUCGCCAAGGAACAAGACUGGUAACUAGCGCAAAGGAGACUGUCGAGAGGUGGCACUGCUAGACUUGCUGAUGUGUAGUUGUGGCAUAAAAAAGAUGAAAAAAUGGUAUCUUGUAUGAUUCCAUAAGGUGUACGUAGAAAAUCUUCCCAUGUGGAUCAGUACAACUUAUGUACGGCCUUGAGUUCACAAAUCUUAUAGUAAUCUUUGUAGUACUCUUCGUAA